ACGAGAAUCUAUGGAUCGAGGAUUCGUCCAAGUGAAGUAGAGGACAGUGGCGGACGGGUGAGUAACACGUGAGGAACCUGCCUUUCAGAGGGGGACAACAGUUGGAAACGACUGCUAAUACCGCAUGACACAUAGAGAUCGCAUGGUUUUUAUGUCAAAGAUUUAUCGCUGAAAGAUGGCCUCGCGUCUGAUUAGCUAGUUGGUGAGGUAUCGGCCCACCAAGGCGACGAUCAGUAGCCGGACUGAGAGGUUGACCGGCCACAUUGGGACUGAGAUACGGCCCAGACUCCUACGGGAGGCAGCAGUGGGGAAUAUUGGGCAAUGGGCGCAAGCCUGACCCAGCAACGCCGCGUGAAGGAAGAAGGCUUUCGGGUUGUAAACUUCUUUUGUCGGGGACGAGUAGAAGACGGUACCUGGCGAAUAAGCCACGGCUAACUACGUGCCAGCAGCCGCGGUAAUACGUAGGUGGCAAGCGUUGUCCGGAUUUACUGGGUGUAAAGGGCGUGUAGCCGGGAAGGCAAGUCAGAUGUGAAAUCCACGGGCUUAACUCGUGAACUGCAUUUGAAACUGUUUUUCUUGAGCAUCGGAGAGGCAAUCGGAAUUCCUAGUGUAGCGGUGAAAUGCGUAGAUAUUAGGAGGAACACCAGUGGCGAAGGCGGAUUGCUGGACGACAACUGACGGUGA
rnacentral:rRNA from 1 species